UUCCAGCUCCAAUAGCGUCUAUUAAAGUUGUUGCGGUUACAAGCCUCGUAGUUGGAUUUCUGCUAGGGACGAUCGGUCCACCCAUUGGAUGUGCAUCUGCGUCGGCCUUGGCAUCUUCUUGGCGAGCGCAACUGCACUUGACUGUGUGGUGCGGUAUCCAGGACUUUUACUUUGAGGAAAUUAGAGUGUUUCAAGCAGGCGCACGCCUUGAAUACAUUAGCAUGGAAUAAUAAGAUAGGGCCCGAUAUAUAUUUUGUUGGUUUCUGGGGCUGAGGUAAUGAUUAAUAGGGGUAGUUGGGGGCAUUCGCAUUUAACAGUCAAAGGUGAAAUUCUUGGAUUUGUUAAAGACGGACUACUGCGAAAGCAUUUGCCAAGAAUGCUUUCAUUA
rnacentral:rRNA from 1 species